UACGGAGGAUGCAAGCGUUAUCCGGAAUUAUUGGGCGUAAAGCGUCUGUAGGUGGACGUUCAAGUCUGCUGUCAAAGACCGGGGCUUAACCCUGGAAAGGCGGUGGAAACUGAAAGUCUAGAGUGCGGUAGGGGUAGAGGGAAUUCCCAGUGUAGCGGUGAAAUGCGUAGAGAUUGGGAAGAACACCGGUGGCGAAAGCGCUCUGCUGGGCCUGCACUGACACUGAUGGACGAAAGCUAGGGGAGCGAAUGGG
rnacentral:rRNA from 1 species